UACAGAGGUGGCAAGCGUUGUUCGGAUUUACUGGGCGUAAAGGGCGCGUAGGCGGCAAUUCAAGUCAUCUGUGAAAUCUCCGGGCUUAACUCGGAACGGUCAGAUGAUACUGCUUUGCUAGAGUGCGGAAGGGGCAAUCGGAAUUCUUGGUGUAGCGGUGAAAUGCGUAGAUAUCAAGAGGAACACCUGAGGUGAAGACGGGUUGCUGGGCCGACACUGACGCUGAUGCGCGAAAGCCAGGGGAGCAAACGGG
rnacentral:rRNA from 1 species